GAAAUGCGAUAAGUAAUGUGAAUUGCAGAAUUCAGUGAAUCAUCGAAUCUUUGAACGCACCUUGCGCUCCUUGGUAUUCCUUGGAGCAUGCCUGUUUGAGUAUCAUGAAAUCUUCAAAGUAAAUCUUUUGUUAACUCAAUUGGUUUCUACUUUGGUAUUGGAGGUCUUUGCAGCUUCACACCUGCUCCUCUUUGUUCCUUAGCUGGAUCUCAGUGUUAUGCUUGGUUCCACUCGGCGUGAUAAGUUAUCUAUCGCUGAGGACACUGUAAAAGGUGGCCAAGGUAAAUGCAGAUGAACCGCUUCUAAUAGUCCAUUGACUUGGACAAUACUUUUAUGAUCUGAUCUCAAAUCAGGUAGGACUACCCGCUGAACUUAAGC
rnacentral:misc_RNA from 1 species